rnacentral:sRNA from 1 species
UAGCUGGAGUAGACGGAUCCGCGGCUGCACCAAACCACUGCCCCUCGGAGCCUGGUAGUGGGCCACAAGCCCACAGUCCCAGAGGCGUGAUUUUCUGGCAUCCUUAAAUCUUGUGUCAAGGAUUGGUUAUAAUAUAACCAGAAACCAUGACGGCGGCUGAGAACGUAUGCUACACGUUAAUUAACGUGCCAAUGGAUUCAGAACCACCAUCUGAAAUUAGCUUAAAAAAUGAUCUAGAUUCAUGGAGCCUGCAUUAACUCAAUUGGUUAGGAACCAGAAAUCUAAUCCAGUGCCUUCAUAUUAUAUAUAAAGAGUCUGAUUUCCAGAGAUAAAUGACUUGAGCAAAGACAGCUUAUUUGGUGGAGAACCAGGUGGAGAACCCUUGUCACUUGGAAAAAGGAGAUGUAAAGUCAAAGACUGAAGCUUUGAAGAAAGUAAUCAUUAUGAUUCUGAAUGGUGAAAAGCUUCCUGGACUUCUGAUGACCAUCAUUCGUUUUGUGCUACCUCUUCAGGAUCACACUAU